GCCUUCGUGGUGUAGUGGUCAGCACACUUGACGUGCAUUCGAGAGGUUCAGGUUCGAAUCCCGUGGAGGACA
rnacentral:tRNA from 1 species